GUCUGUGCGUCGCCCGCCCGACGAUGAGCUGAUACUGGCGUCAGCGGCCGCCACGCUCGCGCAGCACCGACAACUGAGCGAUAGAGUACCUGUGCAUGCGCUUAGGUCCUCCAUUGAAGAAGACAGCUGUUCCCUACAAGAUUUCAUGCAAAAGAAGCGCAAAUUUGCCGAAACACUCGGCUCAAACGCCAUUCACGCUUGGAUAUUAGGCAUAGGCGACCGCCACCUAGAGAACCUCAUGUACGAUCGCGCUACAGGGUGCUUAGUGGACAUAGACGUGGGCCCCCCGCACCCCGCGCCGCUCCCCGCCGCCCCGCCCCC